CGGUGUUUUCGUUGGCCGGCGGUCAGCAGAUGAAGCCCAGGUUUGGAGAGGUAUCUUUAGACAUUUUAACCGACAUUCUGUCCAACCUCAACAAGAGAAACAAGCUUCACCUGGAGAACGUGUCAGAUCUGUGCGGGUGUCUUAAAGACAGCAGGCUAGUGGAGAGUGUGUUUGGUCUGUGUGAGGAGCUGCGAGUGAGUCCUGCGGUCGGAUAUCAGGCCGUCGAGAUACUGGAGAGGUUUAUGGCUAAGUAUACUGAAGAUCUAAUCCGCAGCCAGGAAGGUCAGGGAUCCGAGGAGCUCAUCUUCCAGACGCUCAAGCAGAAGUUCUUUCUGUCCGUCCUCUCGAGCGUCCAGAUAGCCAGCAAACUGGACCUGUACUCCAACGUGGUGAACAACGAGCUUGCGGUCAGAUUUCUGCAGGCUGCCGGUCACUCUUCCACCAAACAGCAGCUCUUGGACUCUGAGAUUCUCAUUUUAAAAACUCUCAACUUCAACUUGAACGUCCUGAAUCCUUUAACGUACGUGGAGACCCUGUUGGAGGUGCUGGGCCGUAACGAAGCGAGGGUCCCCGUGGCUCAGCUUCAUCAGCUGUGUGUGUGUGUUCUGCGGUUCGUUUACCUCCAGAGGGAGACAAUCUACCACGCUCUGCUCAGAUCCGCCACCGGACGCUCCAGUCCUUCUCACGAGCAAAGAGCCAGGUUCGUGUCUGUGACCGAGGACCUCAUGCUUCUGGGAGUUGGAGUGAUUGCUGUGGCCUCCUUCAUUCAUCACAUCUCAACGUGGGAGAAGGUGGUGGAGGAGCUGACGGGAAUUACAGGCAUCUCUGGAAACAGCAUCAAGGAGUUUGCGUGUGUCACCCUGACGCACCUCACCCAGACCAGGUCCGUCUGAAGCCUUCUUCUCAGGAUGAACGGAUCAGAGCUGGAGUAGAUAGAAGACAACUCCUCCGGAGCCGCUAUCAUGGGGAAGAUCAGAAAAUGGAAGCUGUCCUCGGCCCCCGGUCGGGGCCCGUCGCGGCCCCGGAGGAAGAGCGUGGAGGGCCUGUGCGCCGGCACUCUUCUAGGGGUCCUGCACACUCGGACCUGGUUACUGGACGCUCAGCUGCUGU